AGCGAACGCUGGCGGCAGGCCUAACACAUGCAAGUCGAACGAACCCUUCGGGGUUAGUGGCGGACGGGUGAGUAACACGUGGGAACGUGCCUUUAGGUUCGGAAUAACUCAGGGAAACUUGUGCUAAUACAGAAUGUGCCCUUCGGGGGAAAGAUUUAUCGCCGUUAGAGCGGCCCGCGUCUGAUUAGCUAGUUGGGGAGGUAAUGGCUCACCAAGGCUACGAUCAGUAGCUGGUCUGAGAGGAUGACCAGCCACAUUGGGACUGAGACACGGCCCAAACUCCUACGGGAGGCAGCAGUGGGGAAUCUUGCGCAAUGGGCGAAAGCCUGACGCAGCCAUGCCGCGUGGAUGAUGAAGGUCUUAGGAUUGUAAAAUCCUUUCACCGGUGAAGAUAAUGACUGUAGCCGGAGAAGAAGCCCCGGCUAACUUCGUGCCAGCCGCCGCGGUAACAC
rnacentral:rRNA from 1 species